rnacentral:lncRNA from 1 species
UUGAAAUCCUUGUAGGCAGAAAAGAAGAUGAUAAAUUGAGGGGGAAAAAAAAGAGGCUAACUACAGGACUUUGAGACUCUGAGAUAGAAGUGGAUUCCAUGAAUGCCUUUUGACUAUAAUCCUGGGAGGACUGAAACUUACACAGCAUCCAGGAGCACUGUGGAGGUUUCAGGACAGGGCAAAUGACCUCGAGACCCAGAGGACGUGAGCUGAAUGCAUAUCUUCCUUUGUUUCAGCAGGAAUAAAGUUAACUAGGGAAAGCUACUUAUGGCUCCUCAAGAGGGAGAAGAAAGAAAUCUCUAACUGGUUCUUACAAACUAGAGCAAAGAUUUCCUGGAGCAGAGGCUUUGAAGACAUGGUGGGUCUGGCCAAAGCUCAGAUGAUUGGCAGUGAAGGUGGGCGCCGGUGUUGGAGCCUGUCACCAUGUGUGGUCUGUGCUUAGAGUAGAGGGAUAAACUGCCUCCCUAGAGGCCAGGAAGGACAGGGCAGCCAUAAAUGAGACUUCAACCCAUCAACCCCAUGAUACUGUCAGCUCUCUGUGGCUUUCAUCCCUACCAGUCUCUCAAACCUCACGUGCGACUUAUCUCCUGAGUCUACUCCAGCCCAUGGUUUUCUGGUUCUUCUUCAAACAUAAGAAGGUCAUUCCCACUGGGGCCUUUGCAAGUUGUUCCUGCUGGUGAAAAUGAUUUUCUUUCCUUCAGAUCUUCACAGUUACAUCCUCUCACUUCAUUCAAAUCUCUGCUCAAAAGUUCCCUUCAUAGACAUUUCCCCCAGGUCACUUUUCUAAAAUAGCCUCCUGUACCAUCCUCACUAUACUCUGGUUUAUUUUCUUCCUAAUGCUAUUUCUAUCUAAAAUUAUAAUGUGAUAGUAGAGGAUAGGAAAGGUAGCAGAAUACAACAGUUACUAAUAUGGCUUUAUGUAAAAAUGUAGAUGUGUAACCAAUGUGAUUCUGCAAUCUGUAUU